AACACUUCACAACUUGCCAGCUGGACUGAGCCUAGGGAUGGGCAAAAAUCAUAACCAACUUAACUACAUUAACUACCAUGGCCAACUGGAAUUGCGUUGGGAUCACAAAAUAGAAGGUCAUAACUAAUUCAGUUCACUAGCUGUCAUAACAGAAAAUCCUAACUGAAAUUCCACAAUCCCAAUGCUAAAUCACCUAUAAAUUCACUCCUCAUGAUUCAUCCAGAGGUGAAUCAUUUUUCUUCCACUCUCAAAUCCCAAUCAGUUACACAUUCAUCGCUCUCCACUUUGAUUGGAAUCACUCUUCAGUUCCAAUUAUCCUCACUCACACUCAAUUGAUUGAAGGUUGCUCCAUCACCUCCAAUCAAUUUUUCACCCUUAAACAUUCAAUCCCCAAUCGUUCAUCAUCAUCAUGGAGCUACAAGAUUCAUUUGCCCGAACCUUCAUCCUCAUUAUUCUCUAUUCACUGAUCGUCCUAUGCAACAAUCUCCAUCACUCUGGAUUCAACCUCUCAAUCUCUCAACGAUUCACUCUCAGAUUCAGAACAACUAGGACCACAAAUCAGAGGGGAAGAAGAAGAAAGUGGAGGAAGCAAGAGGUUCAAAGGAAAGAGGAGGGAGUACGAGACCUACCUGAGACUCCAUUGUCAUCGCCGCCUACGAACUACUCCGGUAAGCAUCCUAAAUUUCAUCUUGAUUUUUCCGUUUCUAAUUACCUGUAGGUUGAUUAUAGGAUCGGUACCAAUAACCCUAAGGUCUGAGAGUGAAUCAUGGCGUGAUUGUUAUUCAAUUUUAUUAGGAACACCUAGGGCUCUUGAUAGCUUUCAAUCCGGUUAGAGACCUAGGCUUGGGAUCUUGAGGAAUUGAGCUGAGAUUCGGACAGAGGAGGUGAAGACGAAUUAGUCGAUGUAUCGGAUUCCUGUUUUGGUGGCCACCGACGCCGGAAGUGAUUUCCGGUGCAGUGGUCCACGGUGGUGAUGAGUGAAAGGCUCGCCUGAACCAUGUCUCUGGUUGGCACGUGUUUUUAGGUUAAUUUUUCAAACCAAAUUCUCUUUCCCAAUUGCCAGACGUGACUGAAUUGAUGAUGGUCAUGAGAUUGGGCUUCUGCAAGCCAAGCCCAACAUUGUUUCUAGUUAUCACCCCCAUAUUCCAAACACACCCCAUGGCCAAAAGGCCAAUUUCAGUGGGCUUAACACCCCAGGGCCCAUACGCCUGGAGUGCUUCAUGCAACCUUCUUUCGAGCAGUGCAACUCUGGCCCUUGUUUUUCACCUUUACUUGUGUUGUUCAUUUUCUUUCUUGUUUUAAUUCUUUUUAUUGCAAUUUAAUGUUUGUUUUAAUUAUGGACGGUGAUUUUUGAUUAGUUAUCCUGCUUAGAAAGUAUAAAAAAAAAUCCCUUUAGUGUUAAUUGCCACGUAGGAUUUUAAGUAGAUAUGUUUAGGAUCAAUCCAUUUUGAUAAUCCUUGAGAAAAUGCCUUAAAAAAAUAAUAGUUUAUCCAUGUGAUUUGUGAUGUGAUUAAUCAUUCUAAUUCUUGACUUCUAAUCCAUGUUUAGAUAG
rnacentral:lncRNA from 1 species